CAAUAACGGUGGUAUUUUAGAAAGAAAAAAAAAGUAGGGAUAAAUCGGAUAUUUCGGAACGUAUGAGGGAUAUAUAGGCAAUUAUCCCUAAUUAAAAACUAGUACUUUAAUUUAAUAAGUUGAAGAGCUUAUUUCAAAAAUGUCCUGUAGUCUCGGGGGAUCAUUUUUUUUACGAAGAAACUUAAGGCGGGGCUCUUUUUGGACGGCCCAAGUAGGGCCCACUUUUCGGGGCCCACACAGCGCGAUAGUGACCGCCAAUAUGGACGUGAUCGGACGGCAGAGAUGAGGUGGGCCCGACCGAAAGGGACGGCUCAGGCCAGCCCCCGCGUGUCCAAAGCCGCACAGGGGCCCCGCGCGAAACUUGCAAGCGGUGGCAACUGAGUUAACUCGCGAAUCGUGUCCCUCUCUUUCUCAGGGAGGUGUAGUUCACAUGGUUGUGCUCAACCGGAUUGGGCAAAGCCAAUAGAGGAAGUCACUUUCUACAUGAAACCGAAAGAUAGGGUUUCUCUCUCUCCUUACUCAAACUCUUUUUUAAGUGUGUGUUUUAUUCUACAAGAAAAGAAAUAUUUUUUUUAAAAAAGAGGGUGAGAUAUAUAUGCAAAGGUUUUCAAGUCAAUUUUUAUUUACUCGCUUUGAGCACAUCACUUUCAUAUCGGCGAUGCAAGUGAGAGAUCACUGAUCUCGACAAUGCGUCGAAGUUUGGCCAUUUCAGUAAGUCUAUUUAAAAUGCGAACGAAUGAAUAAAGUAAGGCUUCCCCUA